AUGCCAGCAUCAUUGGAGACCCCCACAAAAAUUGUAGGAAAUCAUCGAUUUGACCCAUAUUUUAAGGAUUGUAUUGGAGCUAUCGAUGGUACACAUGUGCGAGCAGGUGUUACCAAAGAUGUGGAGCAUUCUUUUUGGGGUAGGAAGGCCUUCACCACUCAAAAUGUGAUGGCAGCGGUAGAUUUUGAUCUACGCUUCACAUAUGUGUUAGCUGGUUGGGAAGGGUCAGCACAUGAUGCUACUGUUUUAGCUGAUGCAUUAACGCGUGAGAGGGGCUUACAAGUACCACCGGGAAAGUUCUACCUAGUUGAUGUUGGCUAUGGAGAAAAGCCUGGGUUCUUACCCCCUUUUCGUGGUGUGAGGCAACAAUCUAGUCCAAAAUGA
rnacentral:rRNA from 1 species